CUUGUAAAUCGCGUGCGUGUACGUGUUUUUCGACGUGUGUUUUCGUGGCGAGCUUAUAUCAACCGUUUGCGGAAAGCGAGGGAUGACGAGGGGACCACGACGUGACUGAUAAUUUGCUGGUGGAGUACGUACAUACGUAUAUACGCACGCACGCACCUCGUAUGACGGCGUCCUGAAGAGAUCGCGUCGUUGCCCAUGGGAGACCGAGCGCUCCAAAUAUGUUCCAUUCGUGAUACCUACAAGGAUACUAUCUUGAAGAUGAGGGUGGUAAAUAGAACCUGAGGUAAGUCAAUUAAUUUUCAUAAACUUAUUUUUUAUAGUUAUAUUUUGGAAAUUUUUAAGCAGAAUUUCGCAUUACGAAGAACUAUUAAAAAGUUGGGGAACAUUCGGUUUGCACGCUGAAAAAAGUGUGAUAAUAAUCAUUAAACCCGAAUAAUAGUUGCCAAGUGCUUUCGUGAAAUAGUUUCAACUAAACGUGUAGGUGAAUGCAAUCAAAUAAUUUGGUAAUUAUUAAUAAAUA